rnacentral:rRNA from 1 species
CCUACGGGUGGCAGCAGUGGGGAAUAUUGCACAAUGGGGGAGACCCUGAUGCAGCAACGCAGCGUGAGUGAAGAAGUAUUUCGGUAUGUAAAGCUCUAUUAGCAGGGAAGUAGAAUGAAGUUACCUGACUAUGAAGCAUCUACUAACUACGUACCAGCAGCCGCGGUAAUACGUAGGGGGCAAGCGUUAUCCGGAUUUACUGGGUGUAAAGGGAGAGUAGGCGGAUGUGCAAGUCUGAAGUGAAAGCUCGGGGCUCAACCGCAGAACUGCAUUUGAAACUGUAUAUCUUGAGUACUGGAGAGGCAGGCGGAAUUCGUAGUGUAGCGGUGAAAUGCGUAGAUAUUAGGAGGAACACCAGUGGCGAAGGCAGCCUGCUGGACAGAAACUGACGUUGAGGCUCGAAAGCGUGGGUAGCAAACAGGAUUAGAUACCCUUGUAGUC